GAUGAACGCUGGCGGCGUGCCUAAUACAUGCAAGUCGAGCGAACAGACGAGGAGCUUGCUCCUCUGACGUUAGCGGCGGACGGGUGAGUAACACGUGGAUAACCUACCUAUAAGACUGGGAUAACUUCGGGAAACCGGAGCUAAUACCGGAUAAUAUAUUGAACCGCAUGGUUCAAUAGUGAAAGACGGUUUUGCUGUCACUUAUAGAUGGAUCCGCGCCGCAUUAGCUAGUUGGUAAGGUAACGGCUUACCAAGGCAACGAUUCGUAGCCGACCUGAGAGGGUGAUCGGCCACACUGGAACUGAGACACGGUCCAGACUCCUACGGGAGGCAGCAGUAGGGAAUCUUCCGCAAAGGGCGAAAGCCUGACGGAGCAACGCCGCGUGAGUGAUGAAGGUCUUCGGAUCGUAAAACUCUGUUAUUAGGGAAGAACAAAUGUGUAAGUAACUAUGCACGUCUUGACGGUACCUAAUCAGAAAGCCACGGCUAACUACGUG
rnacentral:rRNA from 1 species